UGAGAUGGAGGGAGGAAGAGGAGGCUGAGAAGAGGAGUUGGCAGGAUCAGGAGCCAUCCACUAGUCACUCUCUGGAGGUCUUUAAGACUCGUCGUGUCGGUCUAUGUGACCAGGAGCAGCUAGCCUGUGACCUGGACAGAGCUCUCUCCCUGUCCGUACUCAGUACCAGCCGCCGGACGCCCUCUGACCCCGGUGGGAGGGAUGGAGGGGUGAUCCCCUCGUCUGGAGGGAAACAGAAGGUUAGAGGUCAGAGGAAGACUGUUUCUCCUCCUCUUCCUCACUCCUCCUCUCAACGCUCCAGCUACGACUACAACUCCGACUCUGAAGAGGAUGUCCCCGGGG